CCGAGUUUACAACUCCCAAACCCAAUGUGAACGUUACCAAACUGUUGCCUCGGCGGGGUCACGCCCCGGGUGCGUCGCAGCCCCGGAACCAGGCGCCCGCCGGAGGAACCAACCAAACUCUUUCUGUAGUCCCCUCGCGGACGUAUUUCUUACAGCUCUGAGCAAAAAUUCAAAAUGAAUCAAAACUUUCAACAACGGAUCUCUUGGUUCUGGCAUCGAUGAAGAACGCAGCGAAAUGCGAUAAGUAAUGUGAAUUGCAGAAUUCAGUGAAUCAUCGAAUCUUUGAACGCACAUUGCGCCCGCCAGUAUUCUGGCGGGCAUGCCUGUCCGAGCGUCAUUUCAACCCUCGAACCCCUCCGGGGGAUCGGCGUUGGGGAUCGGGACCCCUCACACGGGUGCCGGCCCCGAAAUACAGUGGCGGUCUCGCCGCAGCCUCUCCUGCGCAGUAGUUUGCACAACUCGCACCGGGAGCGCGGCGCGUCCACGUCCGUAAAACACCCAACUUUCUGAAAUGUUGACCUCGGAUCAGGUAGGAAUACCCGCUGAACUUAAGCAUAUAAAGG
rnacentral:rRNA from 1 species